rnacentral:rRNA from 1 species
GGGUCAGUAGGUUGGUCGUGCCACCGGUACGUACUGGUCUCACUGAUUCCUCCUUCCUGAAGAACCAUAAUGCCAUUAAUUUGGUGUUGCGGGGAAACAGGACUGUUACUUUGAAAAAAUUAGAGUGUUUAAAGCAAGCUAACGCUUUAAUACAUUAGCAUGGAAUAAUGAAAUAGGACGAUCGAUCCUAUUUUGUUGGUUUCUAGGAUUGACGUA